CAUGUCUUUUUGAUUUUUAUAGAAAGUCUGACCUGCCCUAUGAGUUAUUAAAUGGCUGCGGUACUUUGACCGUGCAAAGGUAGCAUAAUAAUUAGUUUUUUAAUUGGGAACUGGUAUGAAUGGUUUGACGAGAAAAAGACUGUCUCAGUUUAAUUUAAAUUAGAAUUUUAUUUUUAAGUAAAAAAGCUUAAAUAUACUUAAAAGACGAGAAGACCCUAUAGAAUUUUAUAUUUUUUUAUAAUUUUGAAAGUUAAAGAAUCUAAGAUUUGAUUUUAUAAAAACAUAUUUGGUUGGGGCAACUAAAAAAUUGAAUAAACUUUUUUUAUAAUAAAAACAUUGAUAUAUGAGUAAGUGAUCCAUAAUUUAUGAUUAUUAGAUUAAAUUACCUUAGGGAUAACAGCGUAAUUCUUUUUUAGAGUCCGUAUCGAAAAAAGAGUUUGCGACC
rnacentral:rRNA from 1 species